rnacentral:rRNA from 1 species
GUCUACGGUCAUAUCACCUUGAACAUACCUGAUCUCAUCUGAUCUCAGAAGCUAAGCAGGGUCUGGCCUGGUUAGUACUUGAAUGGACAGAUUAACUAAAGGGUGCAUUUCUGUAUCUA